rfam:Felis catus isolate Cinnamon breed Abyssinian chromosome C2, whole genome shotgun sequence.
ACCUUCUUACUUAAGCUCUGUACUAAAAUUACAGAAAGUAGUAACCGUGUUUUAGUAUUUAUAAAUAAAGCAGCAGAGUAAACAAAAGAAGAGAAACAACUAUACCAGAUAAUAGAAAAACUGAGCUGAAUCUCUUUCAUAAGUCCAGGAUACUUUGUUCUAAAAUUUGGUACAAUAAUA